CAUGUGGGGCAAGCGUUGUUCGGAAUUACUGGGCAUAAAGGGUGCGUAGGCGGUUUGUUAAGUCACUGGUGAAAGUUUUCGGCCCAACCGGAAAAUGGCCUGUGAUACUGGCGAACUCGAGUGCGUGAGGGGUUGGGGGAACGAGCAGUGUAGCGGUGAAAUGCGUAGAUAUUGCUCGGAAGGCCGGAGCCGAAGGGGCCCAACUGGUACGCAACUGACGCUGAGGCACGAAAGCGUGGGGAGCAAACAGGAUUAGAUACCCUGGUAGUCCACGCCGUAAACGAUGAGCACUAGGUUGGUGCCGAGCUAUCGGUGCCGGCCGGAGGCAAUUUGGUAAGUGCUCCGCCUGGGGAGUAUGGUCGCAAGGCUG
rnacentral:rRNA from 1 species